rnacentral:lncRNA from 1 species
GACACUAUUUUUACAUAAAAAAUAAUAUUCAUAAAUUGUAAUUGAUUUAUACAAAUCGGAAUCAAUACACAAAAACCCAAAAAUGAAUUAAAAAAAUGAAAUAGAGUAACCUUAAUCGACUACCAGAACAGCCGAUUAACACUUUAAUCGACUACCAGAGGAUAGUCAAUUAACUUAAUCGGCUACCGAAAAAAACACAUAGUCAAUUAAGGGUCCAUCCUGCGCGAAUUUCUCUACCGCAUGUCUUCCGCCCAGUCUACCAAAAAACCCUAGACUUGCUCUCCAUCUUCACCACACAUCACACCAUCACCACCCCACUUCGAUAUUCUGACGGUUUUUUAUUACAAUUAAAGUAAUUCACAACCGCACCACCACCCAACCAAAGCACCCAAAAAACACACUAUACAAUUAUUUUUCAUUGUUGAUGUUGUAGACUGGGGGCUGCUGCGAUUGGGGUUGCGCUAAACCCGGAUUGAGCGGAUUCGGGUCGCUAGAAGAAGCAACGGCGGCGACAGUGGUGGGAAGAGGGAGAGGCUUUCGGAAUAUGGGCUUAGCGAUUCUUUCUCUGUGAGAAUUCUUGUUGACUUGUUUGAGAAAUAUAUCUAUUGGUAUUCAAUAUUGUAGCAGAAGAAAAGAAAUUGAAUUAUUCGUAGACUGAUCAUUGCCCAACUAUCUAUUCAUCUUCAACCAUCCAUAAAACUCCCUCUAUCUACAAAUUUCUUCAUUUCUCUCUCUACAGAGGAGUUUGUGGUUAUACACUAUUCUUUCUCUCUAAUAUACAUACACUUUUUUUUUGAUGGAAAUAUAUGUUG